GCCCAGACUCCUACGGGAGGCAGCAGUGAGGAAUAUUGGUCAAUGGGCUUACGCCUGAACCAGCCAAGUCGCGUGAGGGAAGACUGCCCUAUGGGUUGUAAACCUCUUUUGUCAGGGAGCAAUUGGCGCUACGUGUAGCGUUAUCGAGAGUACCUGAAGAAAAAGCAUCGGCUAACUCCGUGCCAGCAGCCGCGGUAAUACGGAGGAUGCGAGCGUUAUCCGGAUUUAUUGGGUUUAAAGGGUGCGCAGGCGGAAGAUCAAGUCAGCGGUAAAAUUGAGAGGCUCAACCUCUUCGAGCCGUUGAAACUGGUUUUCUUGAGUGAGUGAGAAGUAUGCGGAAUGCGUGGUGUAGCGGUGAAAUGCAUAGAUAUCGCGCAGAACUCCGAUUGCGAAGGCAGCAUGCCGGCUCCACACUGACGCUGAGGCACGAAAGCGUGGGUAUCGAACAGGAUUAGAUACCCGCGUA
rnacentral:rRNA from 1 species